rnacentral:rRNA from 1 species
GAGUUGAUCGUGGCUCAGGAUGAACGCUGGCGGCGUGCUUAACACAUGCAAGUCGAACGAAGCAUAUAAAAGGAAUUUCUUCGGAGAGGAAUUUUAUAUGACUGAGUGGCGGACGGGUGAGUAACGCGUGGGCAACCUACCCCACACAGGGGGACAACACGUUGGAAACGACUGCUAAUACCGCAUAGGCGCACAGCUUCGCAUGAAGCAGUGUGGAAAACCGAGGUGGUGUGGGAUGGGCCCGCGUCUGAUUAGCUGGUUGGCGGGGUAACGGCCCACCAAGGCGACGAUCAGUAGCCGGCCUGAGAGGGUGGACGGCCACAUUGGGACUGAGACACGGCCCAAACUCCUACGGGAGGGCAGCAGUGGGGAAGUAUUGCACAAUGGGGGAAACCCGUACGAUGCAGCGACGCCGCGUG